rnacentral:rRNA from 1 species
CAAAGGAACAAGGUUUCCGUAGGUGAACCUGCGGAAGGAUCAUUG